AGUGAACGCUGGCGGUAGGCCUAACACAUGCAAGUCGAACGGCAGCACAGUAAGAGCUUGCUCUUACGGGUGGCGAGUGGCGGACGGGUGAGGAAUACAUCGGAAUCUACUUUUUCGUGGGGGAUAACGUAGGGAAACUUAUGCUAAUACCGCAUACGACCUACGGGUGAAAGCAGGGGAUCUUCGGACCUUGCGCGAUUGAAUGAGCCGAUGUCGGAUUAGCUAGUUGGCGGGGUAAAGGCCCACCAAGGCGACGAUCCGUAGCUGGUCUGAGAGGAUGAUCAGCCACACUGGAACUGAGACACGGUCCAGACUCCUACGGGAGGCAGCAGUGGGGAAUAUUGGACAAUGGGCGCAAGCCUGAUCCAGCCAUACCGCGUGGGUGAAGAAGGCCUUCGGGUUGUAAAGCCCUUUUGUUGGGAAAGAAAAGCAGCAGGUUAAUACCCCGCUGUUCUGACGGUACCCAAAGAAUAAGCACCGGCUAACUUCGU
rnacentral:rRNA from 1 species